rnacentral:rRNA from 1 species
GUAGGGUGCGAGCGUUAUCCGGAAUCAUUGGGCGUAAAGAGCUCGUAGGCGGUUCAGCAAGUCGGCUGUGAAAUUCCGAGGGCUCAACCUCGGAACUGCAGUCGAUACUGCUGUGACUCGAGUCCGGUAGAGGAGAAUGGAAUUCCCGGUGUAGCGGUGAAAUGCGCAGAUAUCGGGAGGAACACCAGUAGCGAAGGCGGUUCUCUGGGCCGGCACUGACGCUGAGGAGCGAAAGCGUGGGUAGCAAACAGGAUUAGAUACCCUGGUAGUCCACGCCGUAAACGUUGGAUACUAGGUGUGGCGUUCCGACCAACGGUCGCCGUGCCGAAGCUAACGCAUUAAGUAUCCCGCCUGGGGAGUACGGCCGCAAAGGCUA